rnacentral:rRNA from 1 species
UACGAAGGGGGCUAGCGUUGUUCGGAAUUACUGGGCGUAAAGCGCGCGCAGGCGGCUAUCCAAGUCAGUGGUGAAAGCCCGGAGCUCAACUCCGGAACUGCCAUUGAAACUGUUUAGCUUGAGGAUGAGAGAGGUGAGUGGAAUUCCCAGUGUAGAGGUGAAAUUCGUAGAUAUUGGGAAGAACACCGGUGGCGAAGGCGGCUCACUGGCACAUUACUGACGCUGAGGCACGAAAGCGUGGGGAGCAAACAGG